rnacentral:rRNA from 1 species
CCUACGGGGGGCAGCAGUGGGGAAUAUUGGACAAUGGGAGGAACCCUGAUCCAGCCAUGCCGCGUGUGUGAAGAAGGCCCUCGGGUUGUAAAGCACUUUCAGUGAGGAAGAACGCCUGGUGGUUAAUACCCAUCAGGAAAGACAUCACUCACAGAAGAAGCACCGGCUAACUCCGUGCCAGCAGCCGCGGUAAUACGGAGGGUGCGAGCGUUAAUCGGAAUUACUGGGCGUAAAGCGCGCGUAGGUGGCUUGAUAAGCCGGUUGUGAAAGCCCCGGGCUCAACCUGGGAACGGCAUCCGGAACUGUCAAGCUAGAGUGCAGGAGAGGAAGGUAGAAUUCCCGGUGUAGCGGUGAAAUGCGUAGAGAUCGGGAGGAAUACCAGUGGCGAAGGCGGCCUUCUGGACUGACACUGACACUGAGGUGCGAAAGCGUGGGUAGCAAACAGGAUUAGAUACCCGUGUAGUC